CCUACAUAUUCUAUGAAACAUACAAACCUCUCUAUCUCUUAAUGUCAGCGACUAUAUCAAUAAUGUAUUUCUCUUGCUUGCUAGCAUGACCUUUGGGUAAAUCUAUAUUGACACCAGUCAGGAAUGUGUCUUUUUUCCAUUGAUUGUCUGUGUACUGAGGGAAGGGGAGGAGUGUACAUUAUUGUUUGUCCAAUACAUAAUAAUAAGCGUCAAUGCACAAUUGGAACAAAUGUUUACAGCUGGGAGGAAAUAAAAAAUACUAUCUCAGAAAAAUUGUGAAAAAAAACAAAUAAUUUAUUUCUUAACAACGAAAGUUGAUUUUUUGAAACAAUAAGUGCUUCUUUUUUUGGUUACUGUUUAUUCUUUCUUAACUUAAUAAUAUGGAGACUUACAUCUAUGACGGAUAAAUAAUUCAAUAUGUCUCUGGUGGACCAAUAUAAUUAGUGUUGAUAAGUUAUGCAUUUUAAAAGGAUGCGAUGCUGGCUAGUGAGACUGGUUUGUACUUUUCAGGGGCAGAUUUUUCUCCUUUUUUAAAUAGGGGAAUGACGUUAGCUUCUAUUCAGUCUUGGGAGGCACGGUGGCUGAGUGGUAAAGCGUUUGGCUUCCGAAUCGGGAACCCGGCUCGAAUCCUAGAAUUUUUACUUUUGGGAGCCACCUUCCUCUAAUGGAUACCUGAUAUUAGUUGGGGAAAAGUAAAGGUCGUUGUUCUGGUCACAUGACAACCUCUUUAACCGUGGGCCACAGAAACUGUCGACUUUUACAUCAUCUGCCUCAUAGACCACAAGGUUUGAAAGGGGAACUUUACUUUUUUUAUAAUCAUCAAUUGUCUGCAUCGCUAGAAAUUUAUCAAUCAGGAAUGUCUGACUUUGUAAGUCAAUCAUUUCCAGUUACAGGUAUGUCAGGGCACUUGACACAUCGCCCAGGAAUGAAUUUUCGUAAAGACAUAUUUCAGUCUUAAAAAAUAGGAAAAUCCAGAAGUCUUUCACUGAUACUAGCCUAGUGAGCGCUACAGGUUGAGAUACUAGCCUAGUGAGUGCUACAGCUUGAGAUACUUGCUUUGAUUGCUCUGUCAUUAAUAUUUACAUUUCAUGUCUCAAAUUAAAAAUACAACGAUUUAGUACCUCAUCCUAUGGAUCAGAUUCAAACGACAACUUUUCUAAUAACUCUUGUAUUUAGUCCACUGUGACAUCCAAUCCUGGCGCCACCAGUAGUGACUCCAAUACAUGUCUCACAAGAAAGAGAAAUAUCCUCCAUGAUGGUUGAAAUAGGUGAUGGUCUCAUGCCUCCUCCUCAUAGCUACUACGGCUCUAUUAUUUCAAUAUUGCUGUUUAUACCGCGAACACCAAGAGUGCAAACUAGCGAAAGAGAACCUUUUAAGUUCUAUAAUAACAGUAUCUCGUCAUUUUGAAUUGAGAUGCUACAAUAACUACGAAAGUAACACAGUACAAUGACUUCUCCUUUAGAAUGAUUAUUACAGUACAAGUAUGCCUUGGAAAAAGCUAGAUUAUGAAAGAGAAAGAAUUUUAAGUGCAUUAAAUAAUAGGAUGAUGACCUUUCAUUUAAUUUACUAAUAAAGAUAUUUUUUAAUGCUUUUUUGUUUUAUUUGUAAAUAUUUGGGUUAUAUUUAUUUUUGUGGCUUUAAGAAAAUGGGUUAUAUAUUUUUAAAAAUGUUCAGAUUAAAUUUGUACAAGUGCUCCUUCUUCCAUUUUGCCAUUAGACAAUGGAAUGGGUUGCCUGAAUCAGCCAGGAAAACCAACGACUUAGCAGAGUUUAAGUUAUUGAUUAACAUGCAUGACUAAAAUGACACAUGAAAUGCUUUAGAUGUAACAUCUGGCUAUCACAAUGACAAACUUCUUAUGUUUCUCCUCGACUAAUAUCAGGUACCCAUUAGAGAUGGGUAGACUCAGUCACAUCCCAAAGAUCUGUCUUAACCAGGAUUUGAACUCAGGACUCCUGAUUCAAAUUCCAAGCACUUUAUCACUCAGCUACUGCACCUCCUUUUUAUGAUGGAAAAAACAAACAUUAUUUAAGACAUUUUAUGUGUCUUAUCAAAUAAGACAUUUUAUGUGUGUCUUAUAAAAUAAUUGUUUUAAUUGCCUAUACUUCAUUCUGGGAGAAUAUUUCAAUAUAAAGACUAAAGCAUUAUGAAGAGUUAAUAGUGUUCAUUUAAGCUCACAAAAGGCAUGGAAGUGACGGAGAGAGUGUGUGUGUGAGUUAAUAAAAUGGUGGUCAAGUUUGUUGUAUUGUAUUAAAUAAUAGUUGAAUUACUUUUAGGUACCAGUAGUAAGAAUACUAUGUAAUAUUUGAAUGUAGUUUGUUAUUAGAAAUUGUUGUGUUAUAUAAAGAAAAAUGAAGUUACUUUGUAAUAUUAGAGAUGAUUUUAGGUCUUUCUGAGUAGCAAAUAAGCUGCACUCUUUCUUCCAGUAUAUUUUACCAUUUAUUGAAUGAUAUUGAAGAGCUUCCAAAUAAAUAUGUCUUAAUAUAA